UACAGAGGGGGCAAGCGUUGUCCGGAAUUACUGGGCGUAAAGCGUACGCAGGUGGCCGUGCAAGUGUGAUGUGAAAGCCCCGCGCUUAACGCGGGGAGGCCAUUACAGACUGCAUAGCUCGAGGGAUGCAGAGGGUCGUGGAAUUGCCGGUGUAGUGGUGAAAUGCGUAGAGAUCGGCAGGAACACCAAGGACGAAGGUAGCGACCUGGGCAUCACCUGACACUCAUGUACGACAGCGUGGGGAGCGAACCGG
rnacentral:rRNA from 1 species